UCAACCUGUCUGCCAUGGAUCAGUAAUCACGCGCAGCCAUAGCAGGGGAAAUAAUUAAAUCUAUUCAAGUGGAAAAUCAAGUCCGUUGAUAGUGUCCCUUAUGCUGCAUUGCAAGACCUUUACGGCUCAGGUUUACACCACACUGCUCGCAGGUUUAAGCGAUCUCACACUCUGUCUAAUAAAGUUCAGCUCUCAUUUCCCUUCGGGUAAAUUACAAUGAGCAUCGGUAUCCCAUGGUUUCUAACAGUGUAACAUGAAUGAAAUACUGUACGCAUAUUACAUUAUACUAAACCAAGUGGGGUUUUUUUUUGUUCUACGCAUACAGUAUACUGCAACGACAACAAAAUAUUCCAGCAAGCAGUUUAUGCCACGGCGUAUUGUGGAGAAAGUGAGAAUAACACAUGCGGCUUUGUAUUUUUUGUCUCUUUCUUUCAGAUUCGCCUUCAUCGCCACACAAUCUUUUGCGGCGCCAGAUCGACCCAGAGGCGGCGUGGGACCACCGUAGGGGCAGCAGAGGAGAUGAAAGAGGCAGUGGCAGGUCGUGUGUGGUGGAGUAAAGUGUCGGCACUGCCCACCUCUUCCAAGGUGUCUCGUCAACAUGGAAGAGUAGGCCAAAGAAUGCACUCAAGAGGGGUUAUCUCGAGUUCAACCAGAGUGGAAACUCUUCCACCAUCAAUCGGCGUGAGUAAGAAAUUUCAGGGCUGCAGAUUCACCUUUUAUCUCUAGAUUACGAACAGUAAUUGUAGCGAUUACCGCCGUAGUACAAUGCAAUUCGGAGGAAACCUGCAUGAUCAGUGUUGUUGAGUACAGUAGAACUCUUAUCCCGUGGCCGUAUCAACUGCAAAUCCUAUUAUUUCCAGGAGUUGGAUAAUUAUCUUGGAAAACUCCGAUUAUACACGAUCUUUUUUCUAUUAUCCACGGUUGUUUUUCCAGUCCUGCUUUGCAAAAUGUUGGUUUUUUUGCAGAUAAGAGGAGUUCAUCGGGAAAUUCAUCUUAUUAUCUUCAAAUAUCCGCACAAUUUAAAACCGAUGAAGUAAAAUUAAUUUGAGGAUAGUGUUCCGUAUAAUAGGAUGUGUCGUGUUCGUCUGCCACACCACCACAGAUAAGAGUUAUCAUGUGCUGUACUGCACUGCGUUGAUAUGCUCAGUUUUAUUUAUUUUUAUUGUUAUGCAGCGAUCAUCCGGGAAAAGUUCCCUGAAAUUCAAUAAAUGACGAAUUCAUACGGUGUGCAAAGAUUAGCAUUGAUUGCACAUUGUCACUUGAAGUGAAGUGUAAAAGAGUAACUAAUUAACAGACAACCACGGACUGGAAACAGGGCAACCUUUAUUAGUAGGUACUGCAUUGCUAUAAAUUAGUUUAUUGAUCUGUUUACCACAUUACCGAUGGAAAACUGUCAAUGCGCACAACUUACCUGUGCAUUUUUUAAACUAAAAAAAUCAAUGUAAAGUUUAAUGAAAAUACACAUCUCGUCGUAGAAAAUGUUAACACUUUCAUUUUUCUGAAUAAAGUACAAACUUUACUCAACGCAUAUUCCAAAACCUAUUUCCUUUGAGGAAAGUACGUUGUAAGAUCUAACAUUAAUUAGAAGGCUAAUGAACUGCGUUGAGCUUUCUAGAAACCUAAAUCCACCGUAUAUAUGAAAAAGGAUGCAGGAUUAAUUCAAACAUUUCCAUUUAACAAAUGGCAUUAAGAGCUGUUUUUUUUAACAAAUACAAUAGCAUGCUCUGAUCAAGAAAAAGAUGAUGUGCUGCUGUUGUGUUAAUAUUGAUUUUAAAAAAUCUGUCUUUAACUAAAUAAAACAAUCACCAGUUGUAUUAGACUAUAUUAUAUACUGUACACGACUGUGUUACAACCAGGGAUUAACUUCAGCCAGAGCUGUCCAGGGCUGAGCUCAGGCAAAUAUGUAUUCCGUGUUGUUUUUUGACAUAAUUGUACAAUACUUUCGGCUCAUUUAUUUUUAUACAGUAAUAUAUGUAUACAAUAACUGAUGUUUACGUAUAUUUGAUAAUUAUCCUUAAAAUAAUUCAACGUCUCAAAUUACCUUUUUUUAAACCGUGGAAAAUUACAUUGAACAAUACCAUAAUACUAUUCUCUUGAAAACAAUGCAACGGGGUCUUCUACGUCUGUAUAAAUUAAUGAGCACUAAGCAGCAUGCUCUUGUAAUAAGUGAUAACAUCGACAAUAAAUACAGAACACUAUAUACUACACAUGUCUAGGAUGCACUUAAACACAACCCACUCAGGUGCUGUGUAAGAGUGGGGUGUUUUAAGAGUUUUCUCUAGUUAACAAUUUCAAGACACAUUUAGUGGAUCAGAUUUAGCUCACCAGGUAAUGACACCGGCCAGAUAGUUCGGGUGUAACAACGAUUAAUUUGCUCUUGCCCCAUAAGGGCUUAAAACAAUAACGAACCAUAGAAAUCGGUUGUGUGGAUCACUUGUGUAGCCCACACCGAAUAGAACCAAAGAGUAUCCACACUAAACUACUCUGUGUGCUGUGCCCUUUCUUAAAGGCGCCUUUGUUCCAUUUAGCUCUGUCCGUGAUAUUAUUCAACAGCUUUGCAUUGGAUACUCCUCCCAGUUGCAAACAGUUGUUCAAAUGUCUUAAUUUUUGCACGUUAACCACUUUCCCGUACUCAAUUUUACAAGUCUAAAUAUUUUAUUCAGCCUUUUGUUCUCUCUAUUCAAUGCACUAGACUGCAUUGAAUACUGUAAUCAUGACAUUAUUAUGGUUUUAAAAUAAACCAAUCAAUACUAAACUGCAUCAAUACACAUCACGAAGGCAUAGAUUUUGAUAAGGUGGCUAAAUAUAUCGUAUGGUCAAUUUCAACAGGCUGUAGAGGGUAAUACAGCAUAUAAAUGGGGGUGUGGAAGCCAUGGCGAAUGGCAGGCAAUCAGGAAAGAGGUUUUCUUUAAAUAUUCUUGUUUCUUUCGGUAAAGUCACGUAGAUAA